UACGGGGGGGGGCAAGGCGUUGUUCGGAAUUACUGGGCGUAAAGGGCUCGUAGGUGGCCAACUAAGUCAGACGUGAAAUCCCUCAGCUUAACUGGGGAACUGCGUCUGAUACUGGAUGGCUUGAGUUUGGGAGAGGGAUGCGGAAUUCCAGGUGUAGCGGUGAAAUGCGCAGAUAUCAGGAGGAACACCGGUGGCGAAGGCGGUUCUCUGGGAAUAUCCUGACGCUGAGGAGCGAAAGUGUGGGGAGCGAACAGG
rnacentral:rRNA from 1 species